UAAGCGCAGAUAUCAUAAAAACCGAAUGAUGUGAAAUUUAUUUGACUCCUAACUGUCUGCAGCAUUUGUUUUGGCAGGGAGGUGGUCGAUCUUGGAAUGUCAUUAUUGUUCCAACUCCUCUCCAACAUACUUUGAUUGUUACUGCAACAUCUGAAUCAGUCUCCAUGAUUGAGCCUCCCCAUGUCCACCCAUCAUCAGCCCAUUAUCAUCAUCAUCAUCACUAUCAUCAUCAUGCCCUAUCAUUAAUUCUAUCAUCAAACAAAACCAGGCGAUGGCAUUGGCAGAUACAAGUGGAGAAAUAUGGGGUCAAUUGGUCCCACAAAAAAAAACAGGCGCACACACAU
rnacentral:lncRNA from 1 species